ACAUUUAAAUUUAACAUUAAACUUUAAAAAAUAAUAUUUACAAUGAACGCACUAUUACACCGAACCCGUGCGACACUCCUAAAACGAACGCACCAUGACACACUGAACAUGUGCAGCCGACGCUCAAGAAACGAACGCACCAUGGUUGAGCGAGCGCCGAGCUGUCAUUUUUUUUUCACUCGCGCGUGUUCGCGUCGCCGUUUGGUUUUUUUUUGGUUCGGUUAUUUCCGCGUAAUCGGCAUCCGGCACUUGUUUGAACGCGUUCCUGGCGAGGUUCCCGGAGCUACCUCCCGGUGUUUGUUGGACCUGUUGGACAGAUCCGCCGGGUUGAUCUGUUGUGAAGCAACAAAAAUUGCAGGAGGAGCCGCCAUGACGUGCAGGAAGGACGCGCUGGAAAGGUCCUGAACGCGUUCCCGGUGCUGGUGCUGGUGUUGACUGGACAGAUCCACCAGGCGACGGAUCCGGUACGGCUCCCGAAUGGCGACGAGAAGUUUAGCAACCACGAAGGCUAAUUUCUCGUGGAUUGUGCUGCUUGAUUGCGCGAAUGCCGACAGCUCCGUUCAUUAAAGUAGACGACGUGUUCAGCUUCAUCAAGAAUAUAUUUUCGAGCAGUGUGGACGCACUGGAACUAAACUAAAGGAAACGUGAACCAGUUCCAUCGAUCCGUGGAUGGCUUGAUUGAACCGGAAUUUCAAAAGAAAACGGCGUGGAGAGAAAGCGUUAAAUGAAAUUUAAAUAAAAUGCAAUAAAAAAAACAAUUUAGAAAUACUGCUAAAUUUACUGUAUAAAUGAUUGAUAUCACUGUCCAAAUAUAGUUUUUAAAGUAAGAUUAAGUACAGAAGAAACAUUAAAAAAAUAUAAUUUCACUGUGUAUUACAUUGUAGUGCUUAUUUAUUUCAUUGUCCGAAUAUAGUUUUUACAGUACCAUUUAGUAGGGAAAAAAACCAUGAAGCACUGUAAAUUUACUGUGCAAUGCAUUGUAAUGCUUGCUGUUUAUAUUAUUAAUGUAUGAUGUUUUCUAUAGUCAGGACGAAUUUUUGGAUGAAAAAUGCAAC